rnacentral:rRNA from 1 species
ACUCCUACGGGAGGCAGCAGUGGGGAAUAUUGCACAAUGGGCGCAAGCCUGAUGCAGCCAUGCCGCGUGUGUGAAGAAGGCCUUCGGGUUGUAAAGCACUUUCAGUCGUGAGGAAGGUGGUGUUGUUAAUAGCAGCUAUCAUUUGACGUUAGCGACAUAGAAGCACCGCGUAACUCCGUGCCAGCAGCCGCGGUAAUACGGAGGGUGCGAGCGUUAAUCGGAAUUACUGGGCGUAAAGCGCAUGCAGGC